AGUGAAUAGAUACCCCGGUAGUCCUAGCCGUAAACGAUACUCGCUAGGUGUCGGCCACGGUGCGACCGUUGUCGGUGCCGUAGGGAAAGCCGUGAAGCGAGCCACCUGGGAAGUACGGCCGCAAGGCUGAAACUUAAAGGAAUUGGCGGGGGAGCACCACAACGGGUGGAGCUUGCGGUUUAAUUGGAUUCAACGCCGGAAAUCUUACCGGGACCGACAGCGAUAUGAAGGCCAGGCUGAAGACCUUGCCGGAUUAGCUGAGAGGUGGUGCAUGGCCGUCGUCAGUUCGUACUGUGAAAGCAUCCUGUUAAGUCAGGCAACGAGCGAGACCCACGCCCACAGUUGCCAGCGUACUCUCCGGAGUGACGGGUACACUGUGGGGACCGCCGCUGCUAAAGCGGAGGAAGGAAUGGGCAACGGUAGGUCAGUAUGCCCCGAAUAUCCCGGGCUACACGCGAGCUACAAUGGUUGGUACAAUGGGUAUCUACCCCGAAAGGGGAUGGAAAUCUCCUAAAUCCAAUCUUAGUUCGGAUUGAGGGCUGCAACUCGCCCUC
rnacentral:rRNA from 1 species